rnacentral:rRNA from 1 species
UGAGUAACGCGUGGGUAACCUACCCCAAAGUCCGGGAUAACAGCGGGAAACCGCUGCUAAUACCGGAUGCCUUUACCUUGGGGCAUCUUGAGGUAAAGAAAGGUAACGCUUUGGGAUGGGCCCGCGUCCCAUUAGCUAGUUGGUGAGGUAACGGCUCACCAAGGCGACGAUGGGUAGCCGGCCUGAGAGGGUGGACGGCCACACUGGGACUGAGACACGGCCCAGACUCCUACGGGAGGCAGCAGUAGGGAAUAUUGCGCAAUGGACGGAAGUCUGACGCAGCGACGCCGCGUGAGCGAUGAAGGUCUUCGGAUCGUAAAGCUCUGUCCUUGGGGAAGAAGGUCUUCGGACUUGACGGUACCCAAGAAGAAAGCCCCGGCUAACUACGUGCCAGCAGCCGCGGUAAUACGUAGGGGGCGAGCGUUGUCCGGAAUUACUGGGCGUAAAGGGUGCGUAGGCGGCCCUUUAAGUCGGAUGUGAA